UUUUUAGACAAUAGACCAGAGCGAAGAUGUAAUUUAUCACACGGACACUAACAGAACCGAGGCUUCCAGGUGCAGAGGGCCGUGUCCUGUCAUUAUUAUGAGAUAUUAAAUAUAUUUACACACACACACACACACACACACACACACACACACACACACACACACACACACGUUAAUCCUGAACAGAGGUUAUCAAUAAAUCACUAAUCAUGUCACAGAUCCUGAGGAAACUGAGCCGUGAGACACUCAUGUACGAAGACAGUGAGGACUGCCAG